AAAUAACACCGUAACUUCGGGAGAAGGUGUGCCGUUGAUGGUGAAGCCCUCCUCGGGCCGAGCUGUUGGCGGUUGCAGCGAAAUGGGGAUUGUGACUGUUUACUAAAAACAUAGGACUCUGCAAAGUCGAAAGACGACGUAUAGGGUCUGAUGCCUGCCCGGUGCUGGAAGGUUAAGGGGAAGUGUCAGCGCAAGCGAAGCACCCAACCGAAGCCCCAGUAAACGGCGGCCGUAACAAUAACGGUCCUAAGGUAGCGAAAUUCCUUGUCGGGUAAGUUCCGACCUGCACGAAUGGCAUAACAACAUUCCCGCUGUCUCAACCAGGGACUCAGCGAAAUUGCAUAGGGGGUGAAGAUGCCCUCUACCCGCGGCAAGACGGAAAGACCCCAUGAACCUUUACUGCAACUUGGCAGUGAACUUCGGGAUGUUCUGCGUAGGAUAGGUGGGAGGCGUUGAAGCCGGGCUUCCGGGUUCGGCAGAGCCACCGUUGAAAUACCACCCUGAACAUUCUGGGGUUCUAACCUAGGCCCGUGAUCCGGGUCGGGGACACUGCCUGGUAGGCAGUUUGACUGGGGCGGUCGCCUCCAAAAUCGUAACGGAGGCGUGCGAAGGUUCCCUCAGCCUGAUUGGAAACCAGGCGUAGAGUGCAAACGCAUAAGGGAGCUUGACUGUGAGACCGACAGGUCGAGCAGGUGCGAAAGCAGGUGUUAGUGAUCCGGUGGUUCCUGAUGGAAGGGCCAUCGCUCAACGGAUAAAAGGUACUCUGGGGAUAACAGGCUGAUCGCGCCUGAGAGUUGACAUCGGCGGCGCGGUUUGGCACCUCGAUGUCGGCUCAUCGCAUCCUGGGGCUGGAGCAGGUCCCAAGGGUUUGGCUGUUCGCCAAUUAAAGCGGUACGCGAGCUGGGUUUAGAACGUCGUGAGACAGUUCGGUCCCUAUCUGCCGUGGGCGUAGGACACUUGAGAGGAGUUGCCCAUAGCACGAGAGGACCUGGGUGAACGUACCCCUGGUGAUCCGGUUGUUCUGCCAAGAGCAUUGCCGGGUAGCUACGUACGGAACGGAUAACCGCUGAAAGCAUCUAAGCGGGAAGCCGGCCUCAAGACUAGGUGUCCCGUCGAAAGACCUAAAGGCUCCAUGUAGACCACGUGGUAAUAGGCUGGGUGUGAAAGCGUAGCAAUGCGCGGAGCUAACCAGUACUAAUAAGCCGUGAGGCUUGACC
rnacentral:rRNA from 1 species